CGAAGAUUCGUUUUUACAGCGCACUUUAUUGUUUUUUUCAUUCUUUAUCGGCUGUCCGGGCAUGCUGGGAGUUGUAGUUUUGCAGCAUCUGGAGGUCCGCAGGUUGAAGACCACUGAGAAGAGAUUGACAGAUUCUGCUGUGACAAGUUUUGGCCGGGAGAAUUCUUUAUGAUGACCUGGACAGAUGGAGAAGAAAACUAAAAGUGAACGACUCUGAUCAAAGAAGACGUCACCUGUGAUUCACUGGAUGUAAUGGUGCCUUCCUGCAUAUGGUCACUGUAUGGGAGACUACUAGAAGGCUGAGGAAGGAGUCUCCCAGGUCCAACCAUCCCGCCCUAGAAGGCAGGAACCAGUUAAGCUAUCUUAGG